rnacentral:rRNA from 1 species
UGGGGGAUAUUGCACAAUGGGCGAAAGCCUGAUGCAGCGACGCCGCGUGGGGGAUGAAGGCCUUCGGGUUGUAAACUUCUUUUGCUCUGAACAAGGCGCACCAUGGGGUGUGUUGAGUGUAGGGGUUGAUUAGCGCCGGCUAACUACGUGCCAGCAGCCGCGGUAAUACGUAGGGCGCGAGCGUUGUCCGGAAUUAUUGGGCGUAAAGGGCUUGUAGGUGGCUGGUUGCGUCUGUCGUGAAAGCUCAUGGCUUAACUGUGGGUUUGCGUUGGGUACGGGCUGGCUUGAGUGCAGUAGGGGAGGCUGGAAUUCCUGGUGUAGCGGUGGAAUGCGCAGAUAUCAGGAGGAAUACCGGUGGCGAAGGCGGGUCUCUGGGCUGUUACUGACACUGAGGAGCGAAAGCAUGGGGAGCGAACAGG